GUAAACGGGUGGGCCCUCGAAAUCCUCUGGCGGGGGGAUUCAGUUAGGAGAGGCGGAGGUGCCGNUGAGGUCGAAUUGAUCGGACCCNUUUCCGGGGCCGCGCCUUCGGUGCGGUCUCCGCUUCACCUGACGCAUUUCCUCCCGCACUAAGGACGCUGCAGCCGGUUGGGUAGCUGCGUGAGUCGGCCAUGAGGACGGGCGCCGGCAGGUGGCCGGUUGCGUUGCUUCCGCUUCGCGGCCGGUUGUUAGCCAGCUCGUCCGUGGCGCGACACCCGACCGAGGUUGAUCGGUUCCCGUACGGGAACUCGCCGUCCCCUUCCUACCCACGUAGGGAGCGGGCGCUCUGGCAGGCGUAUCGCGGUGUUGCCACGUCACUCUUCGUAGUGGCCGGUGCUCCGAGGUCGCUGUUGGCCGGAAGCGUCUCGCGGGGGUGCAUGCGGCUGGCAGCGAGUAGGUCGGUCACCCACCCGACCCGUCUUGAAACACGGACCAAGGAGUCUAACAUGUGCGCGAGUCACGGGGUCUUGAUUAGGCCCACAGGCGCAAUGAAAGUGAAGGUCGACCUCGACGUCGGCUGUGUUGGGAUUUCUCUCCCCANNNNNNCGGGGAGGGGAAGCACCAACGACCCGUCCUAUCCGAUUUAUCGGUUGGGCGGAGUCUGAGCGUACACGUUGGGACCCGAAAGAUGGUGAACUAUGCCUGGGCAGGACGAAGCCAGAGGAAACUCUGGUGGAGGUCCGUAGCGGUUCUGACGUGCAAAUCGAUCGUCAGACCCGGGUAUAGGGGCGAAANACACAACNNNC
rnacentral:rRNA from 1 species